GGUACAGAUUGCCAGUGCCCACCGGGCCAUGCAUGUCCACCUGGAAGUGCUGAGCCGGCGGUCUGCAGCCCUGGAACAUUCCAGGCCUCCGCUGGGCAGUCGACUUGUGUAGCCUGCCCACCAGGUUUCUACUGUAUGGAGGGUGCGUGGCUUCCUACUCCAUGCCCCCCAGGCAGUGUGGGUCCAUUACCUAAUCAGACAGCCCCUGGUGACUGCUCCCUCUGCCCCUCCGGCUCCUUCUGCAACAGCGGCGGUCUGACCCAGCCGUCUGGACCCUGCAGCCCAGGUCAUUUCUGUACUCAGGGAGCCAGCGAAGCUUCCCCUGUCUCCCAGCCUUACGGAGAUCUGUGUCCAAAGGGUCACUUCUGUCCUGAGGGAAGCGCCUCUCCCAAGCCCUGCCCCAUGGGCAGCUACCUCCGCCAGACCGGGGCCUCCUCCCCCACCCACUGUCUCCCCUGUCCCCCGGGGGAGUACUGCCUCGUUGCUGGAGCUCCCAA